rnacentral:rRNA from 1 species
UGGCGGACGGGUGAGUAAUGUCUGGGAAACUGCCCGAUGGAGGGGGAUAACUACUGGAAACGGUAGCUAAUACCGCAUAACGUCGCAAGACCAAAGAGGGGGACCUUCGGGCCUCUUACCAUCGGAUGUGCCCAGAUGGGAUUAGCUAGUAGGUAAGGUAACGGCUUACCUAGGCGACGAUCCCUAGCUGGUCUGAGAGGAUGAUCAGCCACACUGGGACUGAGACACGGCCCAG